rnacentral:rRNA from 1 species
AUUGAACGCUGGCGGCAGGCCUAACACAUGCAAGUCAAACGCGUGGCGGACGGUGAGUAAUGUCUGGGAAACUGCCCGAUGGAGGAGGAUAACUACUGGAAACGGUAGCUAAUACCGCAUACCAUCGGAUGUGCCCAGAUGGGAUUAGCUAGUAGGUGUGGUAACGGCUCACCAAGGCGACGAUCCGUAACUGGUCUGAGAGGAUGAUCAGUCAAACUGGAACUGAGACACGGUCCAGACGCCUACGGGAGGCAGCAGUGGGGAAUAUUGCACAAUGGGCGCAAGCCUGAUGCAGCCAUGCCGCGUGUAUGAAGAAGGCCUUCGGGUUGUAAAGUACUUUCAGCGAGGAGGCGUUACUCGCAGAAGAAGCACCGGCUAACUCCGUGCCAGCAGCCGCGGUAAUAC